CUUAACUGACGCUAAAGCUCGAAAGUGCGGGUAUCGAACAGGAUUAGAUACCCUGGUAGUCCGCACGGUAAACGAUGGAUGCCCGCUGUUGGCGAUAUAUUGUCAGCGGCCAAGCGAAAGCGUUAAGCAUCCCACCUGGGGAGUACGCCGGCAACGGUGAAACUCAAAGGAAUUGACGGGGGCCCGCACAAGCGGAGGAACAUGUGGUUUAAUUCGAUGAUACGCGAGGAACCUUACCCGGGCUUGAACUGCCAGCGAACGAUUCAGAGAUGAUGAGGCCCUUCGGGGCGCUGGUGGAGGUGCUGCAUGGUUGUCGUCAGCUCGUGCCGUGAGGUGUCGGCUUAAGUGCCAUAACGAGCGCAACCCCUUUCUCCAGUUGCCAUCAGGUAGAGCUGGGCACUCUGGAGACACUGCCACCGUAAGGUGUGAGGAAGGUGGGGAUGACGUCAAAUCAGCACGGCCCUUACGUCCGGGGCUACACACGUGUUACAAUGGGUGGUACAGAGAGUCGGUCGCUGGCAAUAGCGAUCCAAUCCUAAAAGCCAUCCUCAGUUCGGAUUGGGGUCUGCAACCCGACCCCAUGAAGCUGGAUCGCUAGUAA
rnacentral:rRNA from 1 species